UGGAAAAACAAAAAAAAGCGUUACAUUCGAUCCAGCAGAAACUUUUCUGAAACCGAAGUGCAGUAUCACAACAGACAUGGCAGCGAAGGCAGCGCGGGACAACAGAAGCCUACAGAAACAAGUCGCGAAUAUCUACCUCGCAGCUCCUGGACAAAGGGAGUCCGCACCCACCUCCCAGUCGCAGCUGGCCUCUCCCGGUGUGCACACGCAUUCUCCAGACGAGUCAACUUACCCAGACUCCAGGGAACUCAUCCACCAGCCCUCGGCGUGAAGCGGGGUGGGCGCGGCGAGCCGC